rnacentral:lncRNA from 1 species
GUUUUGAGGUGGUGUAUUAUGCAGCAGUAGUUAACGGAAACAUCUUCCCAGCAAUCUCCUUGCUAAGCAAAAGUUUUUGGCAAAUUGCCGCUGCAGCUACUUCCUCUGUUUACUGUUAACUGCAACAGUGAGAGCUCAGAAAUUCCCAGACUGUUUUGAUGAUAAGGUCCAAGAACUUGCCAUGUGAUCCAUCACUACUAGACUCCCACAACUGCAUUAGAUUUGUUCAGGAUUUUCAUAUAAUUUUCAUAACUGGCUAAGUUCUGAAAUAACCCAUCUUGAAGACAUAAACAAUGUGCAUUGAUGGCUAGCCAGACUCUGUCCUGCCACAGUUCUCCUCCUACUCUUCAUUUCUUACCCCAAGGAGUAGUAAACAUGAAUCCUGACCCACCAAUGCAGUCCCAGAACUGAGAAAAGAUUCACUGCAGCUAAACAGUAGGUAGAAAUAAAAACAAUGACUCAAUUCAAUAAUAUUAAGUGUGUUGGGAAGACAGUCUCCAAGAGAAACGAUAAAUAACCUACAUAAUGAAGAAUUAGUUAGCAGUGUUAUGUAAAUAUUGUAGCAGCAUCAAUGAGGAGGAUUAUUUUUGCACCUUUGGAAAGCAACUGAAAAAGGAAGCCUGGAAAAAAUCCUGCCUAACAAAGCAGCAGUACUCAAAUAGCUUUAACUAUAAGAAAGAACUGAUUCAAGAUAUGAGAAG